AUAUUGCACAAUGGGGGAAACCCUGAUGCAGCGACGCCGCGUGAGUGAUGAAGUAUUUCGGUAUGUAAAGCUCUAUCAGCAGGGAAGAAAAUGACGGUACCUGACUAAGAAGCCCCGGCUAACUACGUGCCAGCAGCCGCGGUAAUACGUAGGGGGCAAGCGUUAUCCGGAUUUACUGGGUGUAAAGGGAGCGUAGACGGCUGUGCAAGUCUGGAGUGAAAGCCCGGGGCUCAACCCCGGGACUGCUUUGGAAACUGUACGGCUGGAGUGCUGGAGAGGCAAGCGGAAUUCCUAGUGUAGCGGUGAAAUGCGUAGAUAUUAGGAGGAACACCAGUGGCGAAGGCGGCUUACUGGACUGUAACUGACGUUGAGGCUCGAAAGUGUGGGUAUCAAACAG
rnacentral:rRNA from 1 species